UACGAAGGGUGCAAGCGUUACUCGGAAUUACUGGGCGUAAAGCGUGCGUAGGUGGUUCGUUAAGUCUGAUGUGAAAGCCCUGGGCUCAACCUGGGAAUGGCAUUGGAUACUGGCGACCUAGAGUGCGGUAGAGGGGUGUGGAAUUCCCGGUGUAGCAGUGAAAUGCGUAGAUAUCGGGAGGAACAUCUGUGGCGAAGGCGGCAUCCUGGACCGAGAUUGACGCUGAGGCGCGAAAGCUAGGGUAGCAAACGGG
rnacentral:rRNA from 1 species